rnacentral:rRNA from 1 species
AUUGAACGCUGGCGGCAGGCCUAACACAUGCAAGUCGAACGAGUGGUGGACGGGUGAGUAAUGUCUGGGAAACUGCCUGAUGGAGGGGGAUAACUACUGGAAACGGUAGCUAAUACCGCAUACCCUCGGAUGUGCCCAGAGGGGAUUAUCUAGGAGGUGGGGUAACGGCACACCUAGGCGACGAUCCCUAGCUGGACUGAGAGGAUGACCAGCGACACUGGAACUGAGACAUGGUGCAGACUCCUACGGGAGGCAGCAGGGGGGAAUAGUGCACAAUGGGCGCAAGACUGAGGCAGCCAUGUGGCGUGUAUGAAGAAGGCCUUCGUGUUGUAAAGGACCUUCAGCGGGGAGGCGUUACCCGCAGAAGAAGCACCGGCUAACUCCGUGCCAGCAGCAGCGGUAAUUC